GACGAACGCUGGCGGCAUGCCUAAUACAUGCAAGUCGAGCGAACAGAUGAAGUGCUUGCACUUCUGACGUUAGCGGCGGACGGGUGAGUAACACGUGGGUAACCUACCUAUAAGACUGGGAUAACUCCGGGAAACCGGGGCUAAUACCGGAUAAUAUUUUGUACCGCAUGGUUCAAUAGUGAAAGACGGUUUCGGCUGUCACUUAUAGAUGGACCCGCGCCGUAUUAGCUAGUUGGUAAGGUAACGGCUUACCAAGGCGACGAUACGUAGCCGACCUGAGAGGGUGAUCGGCCACACUGGAACUGAGACACGGUCCAGACUCCUACGGGAGGCAGCAGUAGGGAAUCUUCCGCAAUGGGCGAAAGCCUGACGGAGCAACGCCGCGUGAGUGAUGAAGGUCUUCGGAUCGUAAAACUCUGUUGUUAGGGAAGAACAAAUUUGUUAGUAACUGAACAAGUCUUGACGGUACCUAACCAGAAAGCCACGGCUAACUACGUGCCAGCCGCCGCUGUAA
rnacentral:rRNA from 1 species